AACGAACGCUGGCGGCAUGCCUAACACAUGCAAGUCGAACGAGACCUUCGGGUCUAGUGGCGCACGGGUGCGUAACGCGUGGGAACCUGCCCUUAGGUUCUGAAUAACUCCCCGAAAGGGGUGCUAAUACCGGAUAAUGUCUUCGGACCAAAGAUUUAUCGCCUUUGGAUGGGCCCGCGUUGGAUUAGCUAGUUGGUAGGGUAAAAGCCUACCAAGGCGACGAUCCAUAGCUGGUCUGAGAGGAUGAUCAGCCACACUGGGACUGAGACACGGCCCAGACUCCUACGGGAGGCAGCAGUGGGGAAUAUUGGACAAUGGGCGAAAGCCUGAUCCAGCAGUGCCGCGUGAGUGAUGAAGGCCUUAGGGUUGUAAAGCUCUUUUACCCGGGAUGAUAAUGACAGUACCGGGAGAAUAAGCUCCGGCUAACUCCGUG
rnacentral:rRNA from 1 species